UACGUAGGGUGCAAGCGUUAAUCGGAAUUACUGGGCGUAAAGCGUGCGCAGGCGGUUCGUUAAGUCAGAUGUGAAAGCCCCGGGCUCAACCUGGGAAUGGCAUUUGAAACUGGCGGGCUGGAGUGUGGCAGAGGGGGGUGGAAUUCCACGUGUAGCAGUGAAAUGCGUAGAGAUGUGGAGGAACACCGAUGGCGAAGGCAGCCCCCUGGGCCAACACUGACGCUCAGGCACGAAAGCGUGGGGAGCAAACAGG
rnacentral:rRNA from 1 species